rnacentral:rRNA from 1 species
UACACUUGACAUGCUGAGAACUUUCCAGAGAUGGAUUGGUGCCUUCGGGAACUCAGACAC